AUGAGCGACAAUCGCCUGUCAGACAUUCUAGAUACACAAAUUGUUAAUGAAGGAGGAGUUGAAGAUGCUGAGGUCGUUGCAAGACUUGCAAAAGCAUGCUUAAGCUUAAAAGGGGAAGAAAGACCUACAAUGAGGCAAGUGGAGACAAUACUUGAAGGUGUGCAUAGCUCAAGGUUUGAUCACAAUUCUCAGACAAUACGAGUGGGCCAAAGUGCUCUAAAAGACCACCCAUGGAAGGGGAACAAUGGUGGCGAAGGAACUAGAUUAUACAGCUUGGAAAAAGAGUUCAUCGAAUCAUCGGAAAUUCCAAGAUGA
rnacentral:rRNA from 1 species